rnacentral:tRNA from 1 species
GUGGACGUGGCGGAAUCGGUAGACGCUGCCGACUUAAAAUCGGUUUCCUGUAAGGAGUGCGGGUUCAAGUCCCGCCGUCCGCACCA